rnacentral:rRNA from 1 species
AGCGUACACGGUGGAUGCCCUGGCAGUCAGAGGCGAUGAAGGACGUGCUAAUCUGCGAUAAGCGUCGGUAAGGUGAUAUGAACCGUUAUAACCGGCGAUUUCCGAAUGGGGAAACCCAGUGUGUUUCGACACACUAUCAUUAACUGAAUCCAUAGGUUAAUGAGGCGAACCGGGGGAACUGAAACAUCUAAGUACCCCGAGGAAAAGAAAUCAACCGAGAUUCCCCCAGUAGCGGCGAGCGAACGGGGAGCAGCCCAGAGCCUGAAUCAGUGUGUGUGUUAGUGGAAGCGUCUGGAAAGGCGCGCGAUACAGGGUGACAGCCCCGUACACAAAAAUGCACAUGCUGUGAGCUCGAUGAGUAGGGCGGGACACGUGGUAUCCUGUCUGAAUAUGGGGGGACCAUCCUCCAAGGCUAAAUACUCCUGACUGACCGAUAGUGAACCAGUACCGUGAGGGAAAGGCGAAAAGAACCCCGGCGAGGGGAGUGAAAAAGAACCUGAAACCGUGUACGUACAAGCAGUGGGAGCACGCUUAGGCGUGUGACUGCGUACCUUUUGUAUAAUGGGUCAGCGACUUAUAUUCUGUAGCAAGGUUAACCGAAUAGGGGAGCCGAAGGGAAACCGAGUCUUAACUGGGCGUUAAGUUGCAGGGUAUAGACCCGAAACCCGGUGAUCUAGCCAUGGGCAGGUUGAAGGUUGGGUAACACUAACUGGAGGACCGAACCGACUAAUGUUGAAAAAUUAGCGGAUGACUUGUGGCUGGGGGUGAAAGGCCAAUCAAACCGGGAGAUAGCUGGUUCUCCCCGAAAGCUAUUUAGGUAGCGCCUCGUGAAUUCAUCUCCGGGGGUAGAGCACUGUUUCGGCAAGGGGGUCAUCCCGACUUACCAACCCGAUGCAAACUGCGAAUACCGGAGAAUGUUAUCACGGGAGACACACGGCGGGUGCUAACGUCCGUCGUGAAGAGGGAAACAACCCAGACCGCCAGCUAAGGUCCCAAAGUCAUGGUUAAGUGGGAAACGAUGUGGGAAGGCCCAGACAGCCAGGAUGUUGGCUUAGAAGCAGCCAUCAUUUAAAGAAAGCGUAAUAGCUCACUGGUCGAGUCGGCCUGCGCGGAAGAUGUAACGGGGCUAAACCAUGCACCGAAGCUGCGGCAGCGACGCUGAUGCGUUGUUGGGUAGGGGAGCGUUCUGUAAGCCUGUGAAGGUGUGCUGUGAGGCAUGCUGGAGGUAUCAGAAGUGCGAAUGCUGACAUAAGUAACGAUAAAGCGGGUGAAAAGCCCGCUCGCCGGAAGACCAAGGGUUCCUGUCCAACGUUAAUCGGGGCAGGGUGAGUCGACCCCUAAGGCGAGGCCGAAAGGCGUAGUCGAUGGGAAACAGGUUAAUAUUCCUGUACUUGGUGUUACUGCGAAGGGGGGACGGAGAAGGCUAUGUUGGCCGGGCGACGGUUGUCCCGGUUUAAGCGUGUAGGCUGGUUUUCCAGGCAAAUCCGGAAAAUCAAGGCUGAGGCGUGAUGACGAGGCACUACGGUGCUGAAGCAACAAAUGCCCUGCUUCCAGGAAAAGCCUCUAAGCAUCAGGUAACAUCAAAUCGUACCCCAAACCGACACAGGUGGUCAGGUAGAGAAUACCAAGGCGCUUGAGAGAACUCGGGUGAAGGAACUAGGCAAAAUGGUGCCGUAACUUCGGGAGAAGGCACGCUGAUAUGUAGGUGAAGUCCCUCGCGGAUGGAGCUGAAAUCAGUCGAAGAUACCAGCUGGCUGCAACUGUUUAUUAAAAACACAGCACUGUGCAAACACGAAAGUGGACGUAUACGGUGUGACGCCUGCCCGGUGCCGGAAGGUUAAUUGAUGGGGUCAGCGCAAGCGAAGCUCUUGAUCGAAGCCCCGGUAAACGGCGGCCGUAACUAUAACGGUCCUAAGGUAGCGAAAUUCCUUGUCGGGUAAGUUCCGACCUGCACGAAUGGCGUAAUGAUGGCCAGGCUGUCUCCACCCGAGACUCAGUGAAAUUGAACUCGCUGUGAAGAUGCAGUGUACCCGCGGCAAGACGGAAAGACCCCGUGAACCUUUACUAUAGCUUGACACUGAACAUUGAGCCUUGAUGUGUAGGAUAGGUGGGAGGCUUAGAAGUGUGGACGCCAGUCUGCAUGGAGCCGACCUUGAAAUACCACCCUUUAAUGUUUGAUGUUCUAACGUUGACCCGUAAUCCGGGUUGCGGACAGUGUCUGGUGGGUAGUUUGACUGGGGCGGUCUCCUCCUAAAGAGUAACGGAGGAGCACGAAGGUUGGCUAAUCCUGGUCGGACAUCAGGAGGUUAGUGCAAUGGCAUAAGCCAGCUUGACUGCGAGCGUGACGGCGCGAGCAGGUGCGAAAGCAGGUCAUAGUGAUCCGGUGGUUCUGAAUGGAAGGGCCAUCGCUCAACGGAUAAAAGGUACUCCGGGGAUAACAGGCUGAUACCGCCCAAGAGUUCAUAUCGACGGCGGUGUUUGGCACCUCGAUGUCGGCUCAUCACAUCCUGGGGCUGAAGUAGGUCCCAAGGGUAUGGCUGUUCGCCAUUUAAAGUGGUACGCGAGCUGGGUUUAGAACGUCGUGAGACAGUUCGGUCCCUAUCUGCCGUGGGCGCUGGAGAACUGAGGGGGGCUGCUCCUAGUACGAGAGGACCGGAGUGGACGCAUCACUGGUGUUCGGGUUGUCAUGCCAAUGGCACUGCCCGGUAGCUAAAUGCGGAAGAGAUAAGUGCUGAAAGCAUCUAAGCACGAAACUUGCCCCGAGAUGAGUUCUCCCUGACUCCUUGA